CACGAUGGUUGCCGACCUUAUCGAGCG
rnacentral:sRNA from 1 species